rnacentral:rRNA from 1 species
AUGCUAAAAAAUCAAAGGCCCGUGGUUGCCAUAGUCCGCUCUCAUGUAUGCAGGGCGAAAAGAUCGGAAGAAUACGACGGAUCAAUUACCUGUCAACCGGAUCCAGUAGAAAUUCGAGUCCGUUGUCAGGCAGGGCACCGUCUUCUCCCAUAUUGCCCGCCGCCGCCAUUCUUUUCGCCUUCCGCCGACGAGAUGCAGUACCAGCCCCUGUCGUACCAGCCUCAUGUUCUUCUUGGGAAAACUGAAAGAAAACGUUUGUUCAAACGUACUUCAGCUCCUGUUGUCAACCUGUCCACAAAGACUGUAGCAAAGUUCAUCAUGCUAGGACAGAUGCAGUACCAGCCUCAUGUUCUUCUUCUUCUUUAA